UACGUAGGGACCAAGCGUUGUUCGGAUUUACUGGGCGUAAAGGGCGCGUAGGCGGCGUGGUAAGUCAGCUGUGAAAUCUCCGAGCUUAACUCGGAACGGUCAGCUGAUACUGCUGUGCUAGAGUACAGAAGGGGCAAUCGGAAUUCCUGGUGUAGCGGUGAAAUGCGCAGAUAUCAGGAGGAACACCGGUGGUGUAGACGGCUCACUGGACCGUAACUGACGCUGAGACACGAAAGCGUGGGUAGCAAACAGG
rnacentral:rRNA from 1 species